CCGCAAGUGCGCCCCAGAGUCCCUCCUGUGUGCAGACACCCCGCUGAAGCUACCACCGCGAACUCCUACAAACCUCCCCGCCCUUGUCAGUCAGGCUUACAGUCCAGAGAGAAGAGCAAUCGCUUCGGACAAGUAUGUAUUGAUUUCUGAGACUGAUGGAGACAGUGAAAGCGGAGGAGGGGCAGAGAGAGAGGGAGACACAGAAUCCGAAGCAGGCUCCGGGCUCUGAGCUGUCAGCGCAGAGCCCGACGCGGGACUCGAACUCACAAACCUGGAGAUCGUGACCUGAGCCGAGGUCAGACGCUUAACCGACUGAGCCAACCAGCCACUCCUAACGUUACUGUUUCUGUAGCAAAACACACGGACAUCACAUUGAGCAAAGUCUACAAAUAGCCGCGGGUCAGUUCAGGCCAUGUUUUGUCCCCGGAUGAGUUCAAUUCGGGUGGGGGGUUGGCCACCCAACUGGAGGAAAGUGGCCAACAAGGAAAUGUGGACUGAGAUGGUAAGUCUGGGGCCAGUGCCUGGUGUGUGGCAGGAACCACAGAAGCAGCAGCCUUCAUUCGCUGUUUUUCUGCGGCUUUCUAGUUGUUCAGGCUGAGAGAAAGCCAGGAGAGGGAGCUCUUGAGAUUCCUGGAAGCGGGUGGCUGCAGGGCCGGCUGCCUGAUUUGCAGAGCCCAGUGGAACAGGGAAACAGGGGGGCUUUGUUCACAUUUAUUGAUAAUUUGUAGCUGGUGAGACCAGAGCACUAAACCAAGUGCAGCACCCCCCUCCCCGGUUUUUUUUUUUUUAAAACAAGUAAACUCUGCACCCGACACGGGGCUCACACUCACAACCCCGCGAUCAAGAGUUGCACGCUGUACCAACUGAGCCAGCCAGGUGAAGCGCGGGGUCCUUUUGAGUGCAGGCCGUGGGGCCGUUGCACGGGUCACACGCCUGGGUGGUGGGUACCUUUGUCCUGAGCGGCUCCCUCUUCCCCGGUAGCCCAGGCUCUAGUCCCGGCUCCGCUCACCCCCUCUGCCUUUGGGACCUGGCCGGCCCCACAAGCUGGCUAGAGCCUGAGACCUGAGUCCUCCAUGUAGGACCCCCCAGGCCGGCCCCGAGCUGGCAGCUGGUGUGAUAAGGAUUGGGACAGAGUUGUCAGGAGGCACGUGAGCAGAAGGGCUCCCCCUUUGGAAACCAGAGCAGUGGGCAGGGCACUUCUCGUACACCCCGGUGGAAUGUGAGGUCACACUUAGCCUUGCUGUGGAAGAGCCAGCUGACCUUGCUGGGGACCCACGCUGAACAAGCGACAUUUGAGGAGGGCCCAGGAGUGCUCAGAUUUCCCACAGGGGUCAGAUUAAUAAAGUGAGGAGCCCCGGAAUGUGGGAGGAGGAAGAGAGCUGAGGCAAGGCCCACGGCACCCUGACGUUUGAGGGGAGCUGGCGGGGAGAGAGAUGGGAUGCCUGGAGCAGCGGAGGACAAAAGCCAGAUGAUGAAGAGUGCCCCCCCCCCCAAAUCCAGGGCUUCCUCCCACACCGGCCCAUGAGACUCCUGAGCUGUGGCCGCUGGAAUGGCCACAGGGAAACCACAGAUACAGAAGAGAACAGAAAGCAGGUCAGGACGCUCUGGACGCCGCUAGACCGGCUGGGAUGCGUUGUGUGAGGAAUGAACGAUUCCAGGGUGAGUGAGAGUCACGUGCGCCUGCCCGCCGGUCCUGACCGGGUCCUCCCUCCUCCCCGCAGCCAUCGCGAGAUCCUGGGCCACUUGCGCUUCCUUCUCCACCGUCCACUUCCUCUUCAUCAUCGUCGUGGCGUCUACCGUCUUCCACUGCCACUGGCGCCUGGCCGUGGUGCCCGGCCCCUGGGCCUACUCGGGCCGCGUCGUCCUGCUCCCCAGAUCUCUGCCCUGGGGCGGCAUGUUCACCAUCAACGCCCAAGGGCGCCUGGGGAACCAGAUGGGGGAGUACGCCACCCUGUACGCCCUGGCCAAGAUGAACGGGCGGCCCGCCUUCAUCCCGGCCGAGAUGCACAGCGCGCUGGCGCCCAUCUUCCGGAUCAGCCUCCCCGUCCUGCACCACACCGCGGCCGGCAGGAUCCCCUGGCGGAACUACCCCCUGAACGACUGGAUGGAGGACCGCUACCGCCACAUCCCGGGCGAGUACGUGCGCCUCACCGGCUACCCCUGCUCCUGGACCUUCUACCACCACGUGCGCGACGAGAUCCGGCGCGAGUUCACCCUGCACGACCACGUGCGGGAGGAGGCCCAGGCGUUUCUGCGGCGGCUGCAGGUGGGCGGGCAGCGGCCGGGCACCUUCGUGGGCGUCCACGUGCGCCGCGGCGACUACGUGCACGUCAUGCCCCGCGUGUGGAAGGGCGUGGUCGCCUACCCGGGGUACCUGGAGCGGGCCCUGGGACGGUCCCCGGUCUUCGUGGUCGCCAGCAACGGCAUGGCCUGGUGUCGCGAGAACAUCGACGCCUCCCGCGGCGACGUGGUGUUCGCCGGCAAUGGCCUUCAGGGCUCGCCGGCCAAGGACUUCGCGCUGCCCACGCGGUGCAACCACAGCGUCAUCACCGUGGGCACGUUCGGGAUCUGGGCCGCCUACCUGGCGGGCGGGGACACCAUCCACCUGGCCAAUUUCACCCUCCCGCACUCCCCCUUCCGCUGGAUCUUUAAGCCCCAAGCAGCCUUCCUGCCGGAGUGGAUGGGCAUCGCUGCUGACCUUGGCCAGGCCAGAGAGAACAGCCCCUAGCCCCGCACGCGCCUCCCUGGCCCUCGGGUCGGCGGGCGGGCCCAGAAUCAGGCACCCACGGCCUGCCUCCCGGCUGCUCUGCUUCUGAGCUGGGCGGCCUCGAACAAGUGACUUAACCUCUCUGUGCCUUUGCGGGCCACGUGCAGAACAAAAUACAGGACUUCCCUCAGCGGCUCCUCGCAAGAACCCAGCAAGUCCAUUCGGUGCCUUGAAAACACGCGGUUUAUUUACUUUUGAGAGAGAGCACGCGGGGGACGGGCGGAGAGAGCGAGACAGGGAGACCAUAGACUUGAAGCUGGCUCUGCCCUGAGAGAGCCCCAUGCGGGGCUGGAACUCAUGACCUGAGCUGAGGUCGGACGCCUAACCGACCGAACCCCACCGGGCGCGCCCCGGGAUCGGUGCCCUGGUAAGAAAGAGACGCGAGAAAGAUGACCUUGCUCGGCUCUCGGACUGCAAAUCGGGAAGUGCGCUCUCACCAGGCUCGGGGGCGGCAGGCGCCCUGACCUUCAGCCUUCAGGCAGCGUGCGUUGUUUCAGCUCCCAGUCCGGGGUUCUUUGCUGCCGCAGUCACCACUGACUAAUAAAGACCGUUUCCAGGGGCUCCCUCGCCCUGUGGCUCCGGUUGGCUUAGGCCAGUGGGAUCACAGUCCAGAAAUCAGGGGAGGAAGGAGAGCGAAGCUGGGGUAGUUAUUCUCCAGUUCCGUCCCUGCCGACCUGGGGUGAUAACUGCACCCCAUGUCGAUGCCCCCGCCCCGGGAGCUGUAACAUCUCUUUGUCGGUUUCCCUACAUCCUCCCCACACCUUUGUAAACCGUCCUUGGAAACCCCUCUCCCGUUGCCCCCAUGACUGUUCCCUCUGCGUUGGGACCCUGCGCGAUGCCUCCAGAAUUUUGCUAGCGCACAAAAGCGCUCCCCACACCCACGCGGCUGUGACGCCGAAGUCACUCAGCUUAGUGGCACGAUGACCUGUCCUCAGUCAGAAUCAAGUUGGUUCUGAAGAAAAUAAUGAAAACCAUGAAGAGAAAACAAUGAAGUGGUAUUUCCCGCCAGCUUCACUUCGGGGACCCAGAGGAAAGCCACAGGCGGCCGGGCGCCCGCUUCCCACCUAUCUCUUCUCUCGAGCACCCUGGGGACGAUGUUGGCACUGGGGGCAGAUUCGGAGGAUCCAUUAUCUCCCGGGUGGGGUCGUCUCUGCUGGGAAGGAGCCCUGCUGGGAGGCAGAACAGACGCUGCAGCUCGCUUCCGCUUCCGGGGAGCUGGGUGGAGAAGCACAGCGAGACUCCAAGUUGCAUCUGUUUCACCUAAAUGCUAAGGGGACCCAGCUCUGUUCCCUUGUUUGGAAAAGGAAAUAAACGACUUUUAGUUCGUAAGGGCCAAAGCAGAAACUGGCGAGCUGUCAACCAUAAGUGGCACAAAUUCAAUCAACAAAUAUUUGCUGAGCUCCGCCCUGAGCUCAAAAGACCUCCCACCUUGUCCCCACCACAGGGGAUGGGGGGAAGCCCUGGGCAGGGACCAGCAAGCCCAGUACCCCAAACAGCACGGAGCACGCAGUAUGUGUUUGUUACGGGUCGAAUUGUGUCCCCCAGAAGGGUGGGCGGAAAGCCUUCCGCCCAGGAUCUCCGGAUGUGCCCUUCUUUGGACAUUAGGAUCUUUGCAGAUAAAUUAGUUAAGAUGAGGUCACGCUGGGGUAGGGUGGGGGCCCUGCCUCCGACGUGGCAGGUGACACCGACACAGGAGGGGACAGCGCCAUGUGAUGAUGGAGGCAGAGAUCAGCUUCUAGCCCCUGACUGGGAGGGAAUGAUUUUCCAUUGUUGAAAGGCACACAGUGUGUGGUUAACAGCACCCUUGGGAAACGGAUACGGUGCUUCCGGUUUAUUUAUUGAAUGGCUUGGACAAGCACGAGCUGGUGCCAGGCCCCUCACUGCGUGCACCAGCAGAUUAGAGACACAGGCUGCUGUGGCCCAGGACCGGUGUUCCCGGUCAGAUCACGGAACCCAGUGGCCAUAAGGGGAGAGCACUGGGGGGUGAGCCAAGCAGGGUGUGACCUGGUUGAAUGCGGGAAGCGGGUAGAGGCUAUACAGGCACACCACAGGGGGCGACCUAGCACCAACAUCCCUGCUUGUCGUCUGCCAUCCCCGAAACCCUCAGAGCCCAGAAAGCUGUCUUUCCAGAAGGAACUCAGGCUUAUCAACCAGACGCCUAUACCUGAGUUGAGCCAACCCAGCUGCGGGUCUGGGCGCCUUGGGUCACAGGGCCAGGGGUUGAGCCCAACCAGAAAUGGACUCCCGGGUGUCACCUUCCCCUCUGGCAGCCUGGGACUCAAAUGCAAGGACCAGGGUGGGGGUGGGGGGUUGCAGACUAAGGUUCACUUCACAGCUCAGCUAAUGCCCCUGAGAUUCCCAGCCUUAUGGCCCACGGGCUGGAGAUCAGACCACUUUCUCAUCGCCAUCGAAAAUAAAGCCUCUGUUCCCAACUUGGAAUGUGUUACACGUAGUGACUCAGAGGGGACGCAUAGCUCGGUGGUUAAGUGCACACGCUCUGGCCGCAGGCUGAGGAUGUCAGGCUCCCACACCCGCUGGCUGUGUGACCCUUGGCAAAGGACUUCAUCUCUCUGAGGAUUGAAACAGUACCUGGCCGGAGCACGGGUGGGGGUGGGGGUGCCUGCAAGGCUCAGUCAGUUAAGUGUCUGACUCUUGAUUUCGGCUCAGGUCAUGAUCUCAUAGUUCGUGGGUUCGAACCCCGCAUCAGGCUCUGUGCUG